CUAUUUCAUAAGUCUCAUUUAAGUAUCAGUCCUUUGAAAAUAUCAAGAAUCCUAACAUUGCUAUAUAUUUGCUAGUGUUGUGGGUGGAUGCUAUGCAGUUUCUUUUCAUGUUUAUUUUGUGUGAUUUCUUUGGUGUAGCAGGUGAAAAUGGUGCACCUGAUCACUUAGUACCAGCACAGCUCUUGAUUUAGGGACGACGCACACACUCAACUUUAAUACUUUAAUACUAGGACUAGUGAUGAGUGCGUUAAUUAAUUCCCCUCAUUAAUUAAGUGCAUAUUUAUGUCUUCACAGCUCCGACUGAACGGCGGAGACCCAGUCCACGAGCGUUUGAUGAGGGCUCAACCACGCCAGCCAAUCAGCUCUCGCUUUCUGCCAACAGACAUGGCUGCCUGGCCAAUCACAGCGGGGACGUGGCAGAGGUGGGCAGGGCCUGAGUGCUGGAGUGUCUGUGUUCUGGAGCAAAUGCUCAGAGAGAGAGAGAAAGGAGAGACAACGCUCCGUCUGUGUGUCUGAUUCUGCUGCGCGUCUCUCUCUCUCACUGCAGCUCUGUGUGUGUGUGUGUGUGUGUGUGUUCAUGUAUGCCGGCAACGGCUGCAUCGCUCCUUCAUCCCCUUCAUCUUCAUCAGUGAAUUCACAGCAUCAGCGCACGAUCCUGCUCAUCUGUUGCCGUGGUGAUGGGCUGUCGACUGUCAGGGCCGUGGAUGGGCGACGGGAUGGGGGUUCACGGUCAGGACCUGACCCACCUGCAGAAGCGAGAGGCCUUCCGUAUCCUGGCCAGCUACGAGCAGCCAAUCACGCUUCAGAUUGAGGGCCGGGGGCGGAGCCUGCAGUACAACAGGACGACGGACUGCAGCACGCAGACGGAGCGACCGUGGG
rnacentral:lncRNA from 1 species